CGGCGUGCUUAACACAUGCAAGUCGAACGGAAAGGCCCUGCUUUUGUGGGGUGCUCGAGUGGCGAACGGGUGAGUAACACGUGAGUAACCUGCCCUUGACUUUGGGAUAACUUCAGGAAACUGGGGCUAAUACCGGAUAGGAGCUCCUGCUGCAUGGUGGGGGUUGGAAAGUUUCGGCGGUUGGGGAUGGACUCGCGGCUUAUCAGCUUGUUGGUGGGGUAGUGGCUUACCAAGGCUUUGACGGGUAGCCGGCCUGAGAGGGUGACCGGCCACAUUGGGACUGAGAUACGGCCCAGACUCCUACGGGAGGCAGCAGUGGGGAAUAUUGCACAAUGGGCGGAAGCCUGAUGCAGCAACGCCGCGUGCGGGAUGACGGCCUUCGGGUUGUAAACCGCUUUCGCCUGUGACGAAGCGUGAGUGACGGUAAUGGGUAAAGAAGCACCGGCUAACUACGUGCCAGCAGCCGCGGUGAUACGUAGGGUGCGAGCGUUGUCCGGAUUUAUUGGGCGUAAAGGGCUCGUAGGUGGUUGAUCGCGUCGGAAGUGUAAUCUUGGGGCUUAACCCUGAGCGUGCUUUCGAUACGGGUUGACUUGAGGAAGGUAGGGGAGAAUGGAAUUCCUGGUGGAGCGGUGGAAUGCGCAGAUAUCAGGAGGAACACCAGUGGCGAAGGCGGUUCUCUGGGCCUUUCCUGACGCUGAGGAGCGAAAGCGUGGGGAGCGAACAGGCUUAGAUACCCUGGUAGUCCACGCUGUAAACGGUGGGUACUAGGUGUGGGGUCCAUUCCACGGGUUCCGUGCCGUAGCUAACGCUUUAAGUACCCCGCCUGGGGAGUACGGCCGCAAGGCUAAAACUCAAAGGAAUUGACGGGGCCCCGCACAAGCGGCGGAGCAUGCGGAUUAAUUCGAUGCAACGCGUAGAACCUUACCUGGGUUUGACAUGGAUCGGGAGUGCUCAGAGAUGGGUGUGCCUCUUUUGGGGUCGGUUCACAGGUGGUGCAUGGCUGUCGUCAGCUCGUGUCGUGAGAUGUUGGGUUAAGUCCCGCAACGAGCGCAACCCUUGUUCACUGUUGCCAGCACGUUAUGGUGGGGACUCAGUGGAGACCGCCGGGGUCAACUCGGAGGAAGGUGGGGAUGACGUCAAGUCAUCAUGCCCCUUAUGUCCAGGGCUUCACGCAUGCUACAAUGGCUGGUACAGAGAGUGGCGAGCCUGUGAGGGUAAGCGAAUCUCGGAAAGCCGGUCUCAGUUCGGAUUGGGGUCUGCAACUCGACCUCAUGAAGUCGGAGUCGCUAGUAAUCGCAGAUCAGCAACGCUGCGGUGAAUACGUUCCCGGGGCUUGUACACACCGCCCGUCAAGUCAUGAAAGUUGGUAACACCCGAAGCCGGUGGCCUAACCGUUGUGGGGGAGCCGUCGAAGGUGGGACUGGUGAUUAGGACUAAGUAAUA
rnacentral:rRNA from 1 species